UGGAUGAUGUGGAUUAAUUCGAUGCAACGCGAAGAACCUUACCUACCCUUGACAUGUCCGGAACUUGCCAGAGAUGGCUUGGUGCCCGAAAGGGAAUCGGAACACAGGUGCUGCAUGGCUGUCGUCAGCUCGUGUCGUGAGAUGUUGGGUUAAGUCCCGCAACGAGCGCAACCCUUAUCAUUAGUUGCUACGCAAGGGCACUCUAAUGAGACUGCCGGUGACAAACCGGAGGAAGGUGGGGAUGACGUCAAGUCCUCAUGGCCCUUAUGGGUAGGGCUUCACACGUCAUACAAUGGUCGGUACAGAGGGUUGCCAAGCCGCGAGGCGGAGCCAAUCCCACAAAGCCGAUCGUAGUCCGGAUUGUUCUCUGCAACUCGAGAGCAUGAAGUCGGAAUCGCUAGUAAUCGCAGGUCAGCAUACUGCGGUGAAUACGUUCCCGGGCCUU
rnacentral:rRNA from 1 species